rnacentral:ncRNA from 1 species
ACGAUGAAGAGUUUGAUCCUGGCUCAGGAUGAACGCUGGCGGCGUGCCUAAUACAUGCAAGUCGAACGCAGUCCUUAGGGACUGAGUGGCGAACGGGUGAGUAAAAGAUAAGGAACCUGGCUUCUGAAGGGGGAUAGCGUCUGGAAACGGACGGUAAGACCGCGUAGGCAAUAUGGACGCAUGUCGAUAUUGUUAGAUAUGCCUAGGCAUAGACAGGAGAUGGACUUAUCACGCAUUAGCUAGUUGGCGGGGUAAAGGCCCACCAAGGCGACGAUGCGUAGCCGGCCUGAGAGGGCGGACGGCCACACUGGGACUGAGACACGGCCCAGACUCCUACGGGAGGCAGCAGUAGGGAAUUUUCGGCAAUGG